rnacentral:rRNA from 1 species
AGUGAACGCUGGCGGUAGGCCUAACACAUGCAAGUCGAACGGCAGCACAGAGGAGCUUGCUCCUUGGGUGGCGAGUGGCGGACGGGUGAGGAAUACAUCGGAAUCUACUCUGUCGUGGGGGAUAACGUAGGGAAACUUACGCUAAUACCGCAUACGACCUACGGGUGAAAGCAGGGGACCUUCGGGCCUUGCGCGAUUGAAUGAGCCGAUGUCGGAUUAGCUAGUUGGCGGGGUAAAGGCCCACCAAGGCGACGAUCCGUAGCUGGUCUGAGAGGAUGAUCAGCCACACUGGAACUGAGACACGGUCCAGACUCCUACGGGAGGCAGCAGUGGGGAAUAUUGGACAAUGGGCGCAAGCCUGAUCCAGCCAUACCGCGUGGGUGAAGAAGGCCUUCGGGUUGUAAAGCCCUUUUGUUGGGAAAGAAAUCCAGCUGGCUAAUACCCGGUUGGGAUGACGGUACACAAAGAAUAAGCACCGGCUAACUUCGUGCCAGCCGCCGCCGUAA